rnacentral:rRNA from 1 species
UUAGCGAUAAAGGGUGUGAAAAGCACCCUCGCCGAAAGCCCAAGGUUUCCUACGCAACGUUCAUCGGCGUAGGGUGAGUCGGCCCCUAAGGCGAGGCAGAAAUGCGUAGUCGAUGGGAAACAGGUGAAUAUUCCUGUACCGGUUAUUACUGCGAUGGGGGGACGGAAAGGUUAGGCCAGCCAGGCGUUGGAUGUCCUGGUUCAAGCGUGUAGUCGUGGUCUCUAGGCAAAUCCGGAGAUCUUAGAUGAGGCGUGAUAACGAGUCUGCUUGCAGACGAAGUGGUUGAUACCCUGCUUCCAGGAAAAGCCUCUAAGCUUCAGGUAAUAAUCGACCGUACCGCAAACCGACACAGGUGGACAGGUUGAAAAUACCAAGGCGCUUGAGAGAACUCAGGAGAAGGAACUCGGCAAAUUGAUACCGUAACUUCGGGAGAAGGUAUGCCCCGGUAGCUUGUAGUCGUACAGACGAAGGGCGAUGGGGCCGCAGAGAAUCGGUGGCUGCGACUGUUUAAUAAAAACACAGCACUCUGCAAACACGAAAGUGGACGUAUAGGGUGUGACGCCUGCCCGGUGCCGGAAGGUUAAUUGAUGGGGUGCAAGCUCUUGAUCGAAGCCCCGGUAAACGGCGGCCGUAACAAUAACGGUCCUAAGGUAGCGAAAUUCCUUGUCGGGUAAGUUCCGACCUGCACGAAUGGCGUAACGAUGGCCACACUGUCUCCUCCUGAGACUCAGCGAAGUUGAAAUGUUUGUGAAGAUGCAAUCUCCCCGCGGCUAGACGGAAAGACCCCAUGAACCUUUACUGUAGCUUUACAUUGGACUUUGACGGGACUUGUGUAGGAUAGGUGGGAGGCUUUGAAGCCGGGACGCUAGUUCCGGUGGAGCCAACCUUGAAAUACCACCCUGGUGUCGUUGAGGUUCUAACCUUGAUCCGUGAAUCCGGAUCGGGGACCGUGUAUGGUGGGCAGUUUGACUGGGGCGGUCUCCUCCCAAAGAGUAACGGAGGAGUACGAAGGUCUUCUAGGUACGGUCGGACAUCGUACUGAUAGUGCAGUGGCAAAAGAAGGCUUGACUGCGAGACCCACAAGUCGAGCAGGUGCGAAAGCAGGUCAUAGUGAUCCGGUGGUUCUGUAUGGAAGGGCCAUCGCUCAACGCAUAAAAGGUACUCUGGGGAUAACAGGCUGAUUCCGCCCAAGAGUUCACAUCGACGGCGGAGUUUGGCACCUCGAUGUCGGCUCAUCACAUCCUGGGGCUGUAGCCGGUCCCAAGGGUAUGGCUGUUCGCCAUUUAAAGUGGUACGUGAGCUGGGUUUAAAACGUCGUGAGACAGUUUGGUCCCUAUCUGCCGUGGGCGUUGGAAGUUUGAGGGGACCUGCUCCUAGUACGAGAGGACCGGAGUGGACAGAUCUCUGGUGUACCGGUUGUCACGCCAGUGGCAUCGCCGGGUAGCUAAAUCUGGAAGAGAUAACCGCUGAAAGCAUCUAAGCGGGAAACUCGCCUCAAGAUGAGACUUCCCUGGGGAUUCGAUCCCCCUGAAGGGUCGUUCAAGACCAGGACGUUGAUAGGUCAGGUGUGGAAGCCAA